UCGAACGAUGAUUAUCUAGCUUGCUAGAUAUGAUUAGUGGCGGACGGGUGAGUAACAUUUAGGAAUCUGCCUAGUAGUGGGGGAUAGCUCGGGGAAACUCGAAUUAAUACCGCAUACGACCUACGGGUGAAAGGGGGCGCAAGCUCUUGCUAUUAGAUGAGCCUAAAUCAGAUUAGCUAGUUGGUGGGGUAAAGGCCCACCAAGGCGACGAUCUGUAACUGGUCUGAGAGGAUGAUCAGUCACACCGGAACUGAGACACGGUCCGGACUCCUACGGGAGGCAGCAGUGGGGAAUAUUGGACAAUGGGGGCAACCCUGAUCCAGCCAUGCCGCGUGUGUGAAGAAGGCCUUUUGGUUGUAAAGCACUUUAAGCAGGGAGGAGAGGCUAAUGGUUAAUACCCAUUAGAUUAGACGUUACCUGCAGAAUAAGCACCGGCUAACUCUGUGCCAGCAGCCGCGGUAAUACAGAGGGUGCGAGCGUUAAUCGGAAUUACUGGGCGUAAAGCGAGUGUAGGUGGCUCAUUAAGUCACAUGUGAAAUCCCCGGGCUUAACCUGGGAACUGCAUGUGAUACUGGUGGUGCUAGAAUAUGUGAGAGGGAAGUAGAAUUCCAGGUGUAGCGGUGAAAUGCGUAGAGAUCUGGAGGAAUACCGAUGGCGAAGGCAGCUUCCUGGCAUAAUAUUGACACUGAGAUUCGAAAGCGUGGGUAGCAAACAGGAUUAGAUACCCUGGUAGUCCACGCCGUAAACGAUGUCUACUAGCCGUUGGGGUCCUUGAGACUUUAGUGGCGCAGUUAACGCGAUAAGUAGACCGCCUGGGGAGUACGGCCGCAAGGUUAAAACUCAAAUGAAUUGACGGGGGCCCGCACAAGCGGUGGAGCAUGUGGUUUAAUUCGAUGCAACGCGAAGAACCUUACCUGGUCUUGACAUAGUGAGAAUCCUGCAGAGAUGCGGGAGUGCCUUCGGGAAUUCACAUACAGGUGCUGCAUGGCUGU
rnacentral:rRNA from 1 species